GACGAACGCUGGCGGCGUGCUUAACACAUGCAAGUCGAACGGAAAGGCCCUGCUUUUGUGGGGUGCUCGAGUGGCGAACGGGUGAGUAACACGUGAGUAACCUGCCCUUGACUUUGGGAUAACUUCAGGAAACUGGGGCUAAUACCGGAUAGGAGCUCCUGCUGCAUGGUGGGGGUUGGAAAGUUUCGGCGGUUGGGGAUGGACUCGCGGCUUAUCAGCUUGUUGGUGGGGUAGUGGCUUACCAAGGCUUUGACGGGUAGCCGGCCUGAGAGGGUGACCGGCCACAUUGGGACUGAGAGACGGCGCAGACUCCUACGGGAGGCAGCAGUGGGGAAUAUUGCACAAUGGGCGGAAGCCUGAUGCAGCAACGCCGCGUGCGGGAUGACGGCCUUCGGGGUGUAAACCGCUUUCGCCUGUGACGAAGCGUGAGUGACGGUAAUGGGAGAAGAAGCACCGGCUAACUACGUG
rnacentral:rRNA from 1 species